GAGGGAGCGGGGCCGUGUCCGUGCGGGAACGGCGGAGCCGGGGUUGGCCGGGCAGGAGCUCGGGCGUGUAUGGAAGAUUUAGAUGUCUCAGUGGACACCUGGAGCUUCUUCUCUACUUGCCUGGUGUCCUUAUGGCUGCACAGGCUUUACGUCUAUUCUGCAGCUGCUUUUGGGAUCAGCAUUUGAGUCGUCAUUCAGUUCUCCACCUCCAAACCCAGAAGAAGGUAACAGAGCAUGGUGAAAAACCCACUGGGAAUCCCUCUUCUUCUGAAGGGAUAGAAGACAAGCUAGUCAAUGGAUGUGCCACCCUGCAGAGAAAGGAGGUCUGUGUUGCUGGUGUAAAGAUUUUCUCGGGGUCUCAGGCUGCCACAGC